rnacentral:lncRNA from 1 species
CAAUCACGUGGUGAAUUGAUUGACUGUUGAUACGGAACUAAAAGUGUUUAAUGGUUUGUAAAAUGGCUUUUUUUCCUCUGCUGUGCGAAUGACAAGAAGCAGCUAAUAUUCAAAAGAAGAUGUUUGCAGUGUGGACAUCAGCGCAUGGGGUGAAGGAGAACGAUCAGAGGCCAGUCUUUGGGGACUGAUUAUGGACUUGGUCUUUCUUCCACUGGGGCGCAUGGCUCACUAAUUGAGGGCCGUCCUCCCCCUUCGUCCAGCUCAUGUGUGAGGAUGUGGAGGCUCAGAAAUGAGCCACUUGUAAGAACAGGAAAAGGGUCAUAAUAAAGGAGCUUCAAGCAGAGUCUACAAU